ACUCCUACGGGAGGCAGCAGUGGGGAAUAUUGGACAAUGGGCGCAAGCCUGAUCCAGCCAUGCCGCGUGUGUGAAGAAGGCCUUUUGGUUGUAAAACAUUUUAAGCGAGGAGGAGGCUACUUGAUUAAUACUGUAGGAUAGUGACGUACUCGCAGA
rnacentral:rRNA from 1 species